rnacentral:lncRNA from 1 species
UAUGUCAUCUGGUACACAAAGUCUGCUCCCAUAACGGAGGAUCCCCUUGCUGUCGAAUCUGAACUCACUAUCUUUGCCUGACUGAACAGUCCUGGCAAUCUUCACUAACUCUAGGUCCUCAUGCUGUUUCUGAGCCAUCUGCUCCAGAAACACGGGUGCCACUCUCAUCUGAGCAAUCAAAGCACCUGUACCAGACAACUCCAACUGCAAACCUUCAUUCAUGAGCUCGAAGAACUCCCUCACUACUGGCCUCCUCUCUACAGAAAUAUGGGACAAACUGCCAAGUGAUUUACGGCUUAAGGCGUCCGCCACAAC